GAAUCAGUCCAGUCUUUAACGAUUUAAUCCAAAUCGAUGUUUUUCACUGCCGAAAAUACCCAUCAUUGAAAUUUCUUCUUCCUAAUUCAGUUUCUUCUUUUUCAUUUCAAUGUCCGAAACAACUCUCCAUCAAACCUAAUCUCUUCUUUUUCAUUUUCAAUGCUUGAAACAACUCUCCCGUGAAUAACAAAUCAAACCUAAUCUUUUUCAAUGAAAUUUGAAUCCCAAAAAUAAAUCUGAGAAUCAAACAAACAAUCGGUUCAAUUUGAUUCAACUUGAAAACCUAAAUCGUUUUCAUCAGUACCUUCAUUGACGAUUAAUCAAUCCAGGGGAAAACUAGAUGAGAUUCAAAUUAAAUUAUUGAAGAGCUCAUCCUUGAAAGCGACUGGGAAUAGGGUGACCGACAUGGCAUCCUUUGCGGAAGAUGUGCAUCUUUUGGCAAGUGCAAGCAUAGACGGAAGGGUUUUUGUAUGGGAGAUUAAGGCACUAAUGAAAAACAUAAGCCACGAAUAACAUGGGAAAUGGUCACUGCCAUCCAGAUAAUGGGCGAGGGGAAUUAGUUCAUCCACGAGUUUGCUGGCACUCCCAUAAACAAGUAAUGUCAUGCCUUUAGAACCUAAUUAUGUAUUCCUGAAACUGCAAUGGUGUUUCGAAAUCUUCUUUUCAGGAUUGGGGAUCUUUUAACAAAAUGCUCUACUGCCUACUUUAGCUAGGAAGUUUUGAGUAUUUGCCUUUGAUUUAGUAUAAAUAAUACUAGUGAUUGGUAGUUCUACGUUGCCUUAUAGCAGGAGUGCAAGUCUUGUAUCAAAGUUGUUUGGUUGAAUGCUUCAAUGAGGUAAGUCAUGUUGUCUUACAUAUAUGAAUUAUUCAAUUUCUUAGAAAAUUAUCUAGCUGAAAUUUUCUUUUCUUUUACUUAUUGAACUUUGGUAAUGAAACAGUAAAGAGCUGACGUUUGUGCUAUUUCCCAUCCUAAAAAAUCAACUCAUUUUAAUUACUGGAUAAUGUAUAUAGUCUUGGGACCUCUAUCAUGGUUGUUGUGUGCAUAAUUUUGGAUCCAAAACUAAUUGGAGAAAUUAGACACAUAUUGUCAGGGGCUAUAUAUUAGGUUCAUUUCCAAGUAAUUUUUUUCAAUGGUGAAGUAUUUGCACUUACCGGUCAUGAGCAUAUAUAUAGUAAAAAACAAAUCUGGGACAAAUAGGGAUAGUCAGUAGUUAGUCGAAAUGCAUCAGGUGAAGAGGUCGUUACAGACGCAAAAGUGGUAGUUAAUGCUGCUGGACCAUUCUGUGAUUCGGUAAGGAAAAUGGUCGACAAAGAUGCACCAACUAAUGAAUAAUAGAAUAUGUCUGCUAUUUUAUAAUUGGUUAGCUGUUCUAGAUGUCCUUGGGUAUUGAGGAGUGGACACGCCCUGUGUCGUCUUUUGUUUCUCAAUUUCUUAGCUUGAUUUUGAUUUUAUUAAAAGAUUUAUAGAUAUGUGACGUUUAAGUAGCCUAUGUAACUAAAAUAUUUCAAUAUAUCCUAGCUGUCCGUCGAACUGCAUCAGGUGAAGAUUUCGUUACAUACGCAAAAGUGGUAGUUAAUGCUGCUGGACCAUUAUGUGAUUCGGUAAGGAAAAUGGUCGACAAAGAUGCACCAACUAUGAUCUGUCCCAGCAGUGACGUACAUAUUGGUGUACCUAUACGUAAUGCAACUGUACAUAUUGGUGCACCUGUACGCAGUGCAAGUGUACAUAUUGGUGCACCUGUAUUCCAAGUUUAUAUUUUUGCAUCUUAGUUCAGUAAGAUGAUAUUACUUUGUUGGUUCGUAGUACAUUUGAUUUAGUUGAGUUUGAGUUAUGCAGGUCAAUUAUUAGAUGCAUGAGUAUAUUCAAGUCAAAUUGUUACAUUGUUUUUCUAGGGUCUUCAUUUUGUACUGAUUAAUCUGGUUUAUGUGUGUUUGUAAUUUGGGAGUCUUCAUUUGUUUUUAAGGAUAUAAUUGUGAAGCUGUGUCGUGGGCAGGAAUUGAGAUUGAGGGCUAUAGCUAGAAAAGGGAUUGGGAAAGAUCAUGCUAAUAGGUCACCCACGACUACUAUUACAUUCAUGUAUAUAUGAACCAGACGUCCACAUUAAUGAGGAUGUGAUGGCAACCUUAACUCUUGAAGAAAACAAAGUUGGGUUGAAAGUAGCCCCACCAAAGUUUUUGAUAUUGAUCCCAAUACCCAACAGGUGUCCCAUGUACUAUAACUUUAAGCUUGCAUUUCUAGUGUGGCUCCAACUUCUAUCUUUUGAUGUUAUCUGCUAAACUUACCUCUCCAAAUAUGGAUGUUAUUCAACUGAAGCUUGGCGUGGUUAGUAUUUUUCUCAGUCUGUGUGGACUAGGGUGGCAUUCUGGCUAUCAUGAAUUUUGGAUUUUUUUGGCUUGGCGUGGUUGGUAUUUUUCUCAGUCUGUGUGGACUAGGGUGGCAGUCUGGCUAUCAUGAAUUUUGGAUUUUUUUUGGAUCUUUUCAACGGUGUACAUAAUUGUACACACAAAUGUAAAUUAAAAAAUUUUAAAAAUGAAAAUUAUAUAGUCAUAUGGGUACUCUUUUUGUAGCUCUCGGAAAAUGCUUUUAAAAUAUAUAAAGUUUAUCGAUUUUGCA